rnacentral:tRNA from 1 species
UAGCUCAACGGUGGAGCAACCGGCUGUUAACCCGAAGGUCGUAGGUUCAAGUCCUGC